GCUUGAUGAUAACCUCAGAGCCAACUGUAAAGAUUAUCUCUUAGUUCUUGUGAGGGGCUGUUUUCCAGACCUUGUCACAGGGUUUCUGAUGAGCACAAAACAGGUGUUUGUGUGGGAGCAAAAGGUAUCACAAGGAUCCAAAGGGGGUGAAGAAGGUCAGGGCUGA
rnacentral:lncRNA from 1 species